rnacentral:rRNA from 1 species
UUGGAGGGCAAGUCUGGUGCCAGCAGCCGCGGUAAUUCCAGCUCCAAUAGCGUAUAUUAAAGUUGUUGCAGUUAAAAAGCUCGUAGUUGAAUUUCGGGAUCAAUGUUUCGGUCAUGCCGUUGGUAUGUACUGAUAUUAUUGAUUUCUCACCUUCUAAAGAACCGUAAUGCCAUUAAUUUGGUGUCACGGGGAAUUAGGACUGUUACCUUGAAAAAAUUAGAGUGUUUAAAGCAGGCUCACGCUUGAAUACAUUAGCAUGGAAUAAUGAAAUAGGACAUCCGAUUCUAUUUUGUUGGUUUCUAGGAUCGAUGUAAUGAUUAAUAGGGAUAGUUGGGGGCAUUAGUAUUCAAUUGUCAGAGGUGAAAUUCUUGGAUUUAUUGAAGACUAACUACUGCGAAAGCAUUUGCCAAGGAUGUUUUCAUUAAUCAAGAACGAAAGUUAGGGGACCGAAGACGAUCAGAUACCGUCGUAGUCUUAACCAUAAACUAUGCCGACUAGGGAUCGGAUGAUGUUAAUUUUUUAAUGACUCAUUCGGCGCCUUACGGGAAACCAAAGUGUUUGGGUUC